ACCUCUAGCAUUACUAGUAUUAGAGGCACUGCCUGCCCAGUGACAAACGUUUAACGGCCGCGGUAUCCUGACCGUGCAAAGGUAGCAUAAUCACUUGUUCCUUAAUUAGGGACUAGCAUGAAUGGCAACACGAGGGUUUAACUGUCUCUUCCUUCCAAUCAGUGAAAUUGACCUCCCCGUGAAGAGGCGGGGAUAAAACAAUAAGACGAGAAGACCCUAUGGAGCUUUAAUUUUUUAAUUCAAUAUUUUCACAACUUCACCCCAUAGGGGCCUAACCAAGAAAAUUUCUGAAUUAAAAAUUUUGGUUGGGGUGACCUCGGAGCAAAAACUAACCUCCGAAUGAUUAAAGCCAAGACCCAACAAGUCAAAGCAUAAAAAAAUCAUAAAUUGACCCAAAUCCUUUUUGAUCAACGGAACAAGUUACCCUAGGGAUAACAGCGCAAUCCUAUUUUAGAGUCCCCAUCGACAAUAGGGUUUACGACCUCGAUGUUGGAUCAGGACAUCCCAAUGGUGCAACCGCUAUUAAU
rnacentral:rRNA from 1 species